CAGCAGCAGCCGCGGUAAUACAGAGGAUGCAAGCGUUAUCCGGAAUGAUUGGGCGUAAAGGGCUCGCAGGCGGUUUCUUAAGUCUGAUGUGAAAGCCCCCGGCUCAACCGGGGAGGGUCAUUGGAAACUGGGAAACUUGAGUACAGAAGAGGAGAGUGGAAUUCCACGUGUAGCGGUGAAAUGCGUAGAGAUGUGGAGGAACACCAGUGGCGAAGGCGACUCUCUGGUCUGUAACUGACGCUGAGGAGCGAAAGCGUGGGGAGCGAACAGGAUUAGAGACCCCUGUAGUCCCUGUCUCUUAUAC
rnacentral:rRNA from 1 species